rnacentral:lncRNA from 10 species
UUGCAGGGGUUGGGAAACUAGUUUCCAUGGCCAAACCUAGCCCACCGUCUGUUUUGCAUGUAUUUCUCUCUCAGGUGUCCAUGGAUUGGCGGGGACAGCUCUGCUUAAGGAUGUAGUAGCUCUGCAGGUUGGCUAGCAACCCAACAUUAUCAUAUUCUGCCUCUAGUGGGAGAAACUUCAAAGUCACAUGACAAAGGGACUGGAUAUAGGGAGUGGUGAAGAAUUGGGAAUAAUGCAACCCUCCAUGAAUUUUUCUUUUUCUGGAGCUAGAAUGGUGGCUGGGAAUUGUACUCCAGAACAGCUCACAAUUUGUAAUAAAUCUGGUCUCUUUUCCUCCAGUUUCCUGUUCUUCCCAACCUGCGCUAUGGACUUCAUCAGAUUUCAGCAUCAGAGAGAAUAUGGAAGGACAUCGACCCUAACUUCAUCCAGUGAGGAUUUCCACACACCAUACACUCUCUGAGAGUUCUCUUGGCUUUGUGUGCACACCUCCAGUGACAGGGAGCUCGCUAUGUCAUGAGGCAGCCUGCUCCCUUGUGGCUAUCACUGAACCAACUAUUAAGCCUUCUUAUACAAACAGUCCCUGACUUACUGUUAGACUUACAACUUUUUGAUUUUACAGUGGUGCAAAAGCAAUAUGCAUUCCAUAGAAACUGUAUUUCAAAUUUUGAAUUUUGAUCUUUUCCAGGCUAGCAACAUAUGAAGACCAACCUUCUAUUUUUAAAAUAGGCUUUGUGUUAGAUGCUUUUGCCCAACUAUAGGUUAAUGUAAAUGUUCUGAGAAUAUUUGAGGAAGGCUAGGCUAAACUGUGAUCUUUGGGAGCUUAGAUAUGUUAAGUGCAUUUUCAACUUACAAUAUUUUCAACUUACGAUGAGUUUAUUGGGAUGAAGCCCGUUGUAAGUAAAGGAGCAUCUGCAUUAAGCUAAAAUCCAUGUCUAUAACUUCCUCAGUAAUAUCAAGUUUGUUCCUUGGAGCCAGAGAAUAAACUGAAUCCUUUUCCACGUGAUGGUCUUUCUGUUGUUUAAAGAGAUCAGCCAUGUACCUUCUCCCAACCUGAAGACAACUCCUCACCAGGCUACCUAUCAAUUCUACCUCUUUUUUUAAGAGAUGGGGUCUCACUAUGUUGCCCAGCCUGGUCUUGAACUCUGGGCUCAAGUGAUCCUCCCACCUCAGCCUUCCGAGUAGCCAGGAUUACAGGCACACACCACCAUGCCCAGCUCCAUUUCCAUUGUUCUUCAUGCUUCCUUAUUGAGUUCCUUCCCUGUCCCGAUUAUUCGUCUUUGAUUGGGCUUUGACUACCUGGGCAUUUAGUAGGGUCCAUAACUGAAUGCAGCAUUCCAGCCGGGGUCUAAGCAACAGAAUAGAGCAGGACCAUCAUCUCCGCAAUUUCCAAUAUCAUACUUUCAUCAAUGUCUUCCGAAACAACAUUCACUUUUUUAUGUUCAUGUUAAACUAAAAGACAGGGCUGAAGGCAGCAUCCUGGAACAGUGGAAACAUUCCUAUAAGUUGACUUGAAUCCUUUAAAUAAAGUCCAUGUACCAACCAGAGU